rnacentral:sRNA from 1 species
UCAUUGGUCAGACUCGCGCGGUCGGGU